GAGGCACCCAAUUAGCAAUCAAAUUAAGAAGGGAGGAAGGAAGAGAAUUAAAAACCAAUCAAUUCAUUUUUCACCACCCCUUUAAUUACAAAAGGACAAAAGCCAACUGUUACUCUGUUAGCCAACAGUAGGCAAAAAUGCAUAUGAACAGCUUUUGAAUACAUAUUUGAUUAUUUUGCAAAGUAGUAAUGUUUAAGGAAGAAAACAAAGAAAAGCUCAAUAAGACAUCGGAUUCCAAGACAAAGCAAGGUAUACAGUAUUUUUUCUCUCUAAG
rnacentral:misc_RNA from 1 species